AUUGAACGCUGGCGGCAUGCUUUACACAUGCAAGUCGAACGGUAGAGGGGCAACCCUUGAGAGUGGCGAACGGGUGAGUAAUGCAUCGGAACGUGCCCAGUAGUGGGGGAUAGCCCGGCGAAAGCCGGAUUAAUACCGCAUGAGACCUGAGGGUGAAAGCGGGGGAUCGCAAGACCUCGCGCUAUUGGAGCGGCCGAUGUCAGAUUAGCUAGUUGGUGGGGUAAAGGCCUACCAAGGCGACGAUCUGUAGCUGGUCUGAGAGGACGACCAGCCACACUGGGACUGGGACACGGCCCAGACUCCUACGGGAGGCAGCAGUGGGGAAUUUUGGACAAUGGGCGCAAGCCUGAUCCAGCCAUGCCGCGUGCGGGAAGAAGGCCUUCGGGUUGUAAACCGCUUUUGUCAGGGAAGAAAUCUUCUGGGCUAAUACCCUGGGAGGAUGACGGUACCUGAAGAAUAAGCACCGGCUAACUACGUGCCAGCAGCCGCGGUAACAC
rnacentral:rRNA from 1 species